UUUUUUUUUUUUUUAUUAACUUGAGUAUUUCUUAUUUACAUUUCGAUUGUUAUUCCCCUUCCCGGUUUCCAGGCCAACAUCCCCCUCCCCCUCCCCUUCUCUAUGGGUGUUCCCCUCCCCAUCCUCUCCCCCCCUCCCCCCAACAAACACGUUCACUGGGGGUUCAGUCUUGGCAGGACCAAGGGCUUCCCCUUCCACUGGUGCCCUUACUAGGCUAUUCAUUGCUACCUAUGAGGUUGGAGUCCAGGGUCAGUCCAUGUAAAGUCUUUGGGUAGUGGCUUAGUCCCCGGAAGCUCUGGUUGGUUGGCAUUGUUGUUCAUAUGGGGUCUCAAGCCCCUUCAAGCUCUUUCAGUCCUUUCUAAGAUUCCUUCAAUGGGGGUCCUGUUCUCAGUUCAGUGGUUUCCAGCCAUCUUCUAACUCCAGUUCCGGGAGAUCUAGCGCCCUCUACUGGUCUCUGCCAGCACCACACAUAAGAUUGCACCAGAGCUGCUGAACAAUUAAAGAAUAACCCACGGCACAAGAGUUACCUGGAACAGGUGUCCCUGAAGCAGCUGGAGAAGCUGUUUGUUUUUUUACGAGGUUCCCUACAGGGGCAGAGCCUGGCAGAAACAAUGGAACAGAUCCAGCGGGAAACAACCAUUGAUCCCGAGGAAGACCUGAACAAACUGGACGACAAGGAGCUCGCCAAAAGGAAGAGCAUCAUGGAUGAGCUUUUCGAGAAAAAUCAGAAGAGAAAGGAUGACCCCAGUUUUGUGUAUGACGUGGAGGUUGAGUUCCCUCAGGAUGAGCAGCUGCUGUCCUGCAGCUGGGACACAGCAUCCGUCGAUGAGUUCUGAGACUACGCCACGUUUCCACAAAGAAGGAAGAGCGGUUCUAGAAAACACUGAGACACGAAUGAUCCGUAAAACCAAGACACUUAACAUGUCCUACACAGCCCUAUGAGAAACACAGAAACACAAGAUAGGAAUCUGCAAUCUAAAGAGAAAGUAACUCGAGAACUUGUAAAAAGGUAUUUUAUUAUAUUACUCAGGAAAAAGCUAAGAGCCAGGUAUUUGAUGAAGGCUGUAGAAAGGUCAAUACCUGCUUGACCU
rnacentral:lncRNA from 1 species